UCGAUGAAGAACGCAAGCGAAAUGCGAUAAGUAAUGUGAAUUGCAGAAUUCAGUGAAUCAUCGAAUCUUUGAACGCACAUUGCGCCCCUUGGUAUUUCCGAGGGGCAUGCCUGUUCGAGCGUCAUUAUGACCACUCAAGCCUAGCUUGGUAUUGGGGUUCGCGUGCUCGCGGCCCUUAAAAUCAGUGGCGGUGCCGUCUGGCUCUAAGCGUAGUAAAUACUCUCGCUAUUGAGUCCGGGCGGUUGCUUGCCAAAAUCCCCCAUUUCUUAGGUUGACCUCGGAUCAGGUAGGGAUACCCGCUGAACUUAA
rnacentral:rRNA from 1 species